rnacentral:sRNA from 3 species
UGUGUCGACGGACAGACACGCCCUUCAGGGAAGAGGGGAAUGGACAUCGCAGGACGCGAUUCAUCAGGACGAUGAAAAGGAAUACAGGGAAUAGGGAAAAAAUGUGGGCGGGUCAAACCGCCCCUUUUUUU